CUCUUUGGAACUCUGACAUGGUAGCCGAAGGGAUGGAGACAGUUACAGAGGAGGGAUGUACCCAUCGCUCAAGAAGCCUGUUGAAUUGGCUCACAAUCCUCCAGAAGGCUGCGAUUGUGCAUGCAAACCUGUGUGACAUUCCAUAGACUGAGAGUUGGAGAGGGCAGGGGCUAGGGCAUGAAAGACAAGGGUGAGCAUCUUUCACAUCAAUCUUGGAGGAAGGUCGAGGACUUGCCUGUCUGCUAAAAGUUUGAAUGAGGUAACGAUCAAGAGGGAAAGACUCGUCGAUUGACCCUGUCACCCGCCUCACUGCAUCUCUAACAGGCCUGUAGCCCUGUAAACGUGAGGAGCAGCUCAGGGUUGACAGAGGGCCAUUGCCUCCCUUUUUCUGUCACUUCCUCCAUUGCCUCAACCCCUGUCCAGAAGAGCGCACCUUCAUUCAACAAGCAUGGAUCAAGCACUCGUGACGUGCCAGCCAGGGCGCUGGGGAAAUGAUGAGGGUUGGGUUCCGUGGUGGCCGACACCCAGCCCCUCCUCCACAGUGCCUGUCUCCUUGCUGGUAUCUUGGCAGGCUCCCGUUCUCCCAUCAGACGCUACACUCACACAUGCUGCACAUACUGGUGAAUAGCUUCUUGCAGUCCAUCCUGGCACGGUCCCCAAAUUCCGCAGGGAACAGGGUGUGCUUCAGCCCUCUCCCUCUCUCACUAAGGGCUAGGAAGUUUUGAGUCUUCCAUCUCACACACCCCAGAGGCUGCGUUGCCGAGAAGACACAGGGGCAAUGUGAGGCCUUCUUAUUCCUGACCCACGAGAACGAUGCCAAGUUGGGGACAAGAAGGGUAGAGGCUUGUUUUGCUUUCAUUCCUGCUUUAUGCCAGGCACUCUGAAAGGCAUUGUGUACACUAUUUUCAUCAUCAGACAAUAGCCCAUAAUACUUUGUCUGACAUCUGACAAAGAACGAUCAGCCUCAUUUUACAGAUGGUGAAACUGAAGGAGCAUGUUCAUGUUCAUACAGCACAAAGUGGCUCUGGGAUUUCAACCCAUAGAGGAGUGUUAGAAUAAUACCCUCACAAAUUCAAUGUUGAAAGUGCUAAUGAAGUCCGGGCGCGGUGCCUCAUGCCUGUAAUCCCAGCACUUUGGGAGGCCAAGGCGGGCAGAUCACCUGAGGUCAAGAGUUUGAGACCAGCCUGACCAACAUGGAGAAACCCCGUCUCUACUAAAAAUACAAAAUUAUCCGGGCGUGGUAGCACAUGCCUGUAGUCCCAGCUACUUGGGAGGCUGAGGCAGGAGAAUUGCUUGAACUUGGGAGGUGGAGGUUGCAGUGAGCUGAGAUUGCGCCACUGCACUCCAGCCUGGGCGACAGAGCGAGACUCCAUCUCAAAAAAUAAAUAAAUAAAUAAUAAAUAAAUAAAAUAAAAAAAGUGCUAAUGAGACAGAAAAGGGCACUGAAAGAUCCGGUCACCCAGGGACCUCUCAAUUGCUCAGAUUUGGAGAAGGUGGGGAGAGAAGAUUGCGUCAAACAGACCUGAGAUCCGAUCCCAGCUCAGUCAUUUCCAGCUGUGUGACCUUGGCAAUGGAUGGCGCCUCUCCUUCCAUCCUCUACAGAAGGAGGAAGAGACAGAUGUUUAAAGUGGAAAUAAGAGAAUUGGAGUUCUGAAAAUGUGAGAAUCAAAUCUACAGCCCCAUUUGUUCAGUGACUUCCUAUCUCCACCCCGUGAAGUUCACCAGAGGCACCGAGGGAACUUGCCCAGAUGGUUGUGGUGGCAUUGUCCCUGGUGUGUGAGGAAUUUUGGAGAAUACAAGAGGUGUAAAACUACUGUAGAUGAAAAUAGGAGGUUCUAAUCUUUAAGAAGAGGGAAAGAUAUUUUCAAAAUUCUGGGGUUUCAUUACCACAACUGUUGUGGAAGGUUAGAGAAAAAAAGAGGGACCAUCAGGAGCUAGAUGGGGUUCACUAAUUAAUCCCCGACUACUCAAGUGAGAAUGGGCAUCACCUGGGAGACUGUCAGAACGUCAAGAGGAUCCCACUCCACUCCGCACCUGUGAAUCACAGUUUGCACUUAACAAGAGGCAUAGAUGAGUCAAAUGUACAUUCAAGACCAAGAUGCACACCAUAACCUGUUCGUUUUUGUUUGUUUGUUUGUUUGUUUUUGAGACGGUCUUGCUCUGUCACCCAGGCUGGAGUGCAAUGGCGCGAUCUCAGCUCACUGCAACCUCUGUCUCCCGGGUUCAAGCGAUUGUCCUGCCUCCACUUCGUGAGUAACUGGAAUUACAGGGGUGCAUCACCAUGCCUGGCUAAUUUUUGUAUUUUUAGUAGAGACAAGAUUUCACCAUGUUGAGGCUAGUCCCGAACUCCUGAGCUCGUGAUCUGCCCUCCUCAGCCUCCCAAAGGGCUGGGAUUACAGGUGUGAGCCACUGUGCCCAGCCCGUAACCUGUUCUUCAACCCUAUAAGUAGGUGAGUGAUUGUAAAGGUGCCAUGGAAAGCUAAAAGUUCCUUCAGGAACCUCUUCCUCCAGGAGAGGAUUGGAGGGGCACUGUGCAGGGCGGGGUUCUGCCUCCUUUGCCCCAUGGUUUCGUUCACUUGUUUUACACAGUGGGCUUCCAACUAAACUUUCCUUUGAAGAGCCGGGCCACAGCCAAAGAUGUUUGAAAAUCGUCUGUGCUGUGUUAUGGAACAUCUGUGCUAUGGAAUGUUGCACAGCCUUACGAGGCAUGAACUGGAUCUGGGCCCACUGACAGAAUGGUCCCAGAGACAAAUUGUUUAGUGAAAAAAGCAAGUCUCAGGCCGGGCAUGGUGGCUCACAUCUGUAAUCCCAGUGCUUUGGGAGGCCAAGGCGGGCAGGUCACCUGAAGUCAGGAGUUCGAGACGAGCCUGGCCAACAUGGUGAAACCCUGUCUCUACUAAAAAUACAAAAAUUAGUUGAGUGUGGUGGCAGGUGCCUCUAAUUCCAGCUACUUGGAUGGCUGAGACACAAGAAUCGCUUGAACCAGGAAGGUGGAGGUUGCAGUGAGCCGAGAUCACACCACUGCACUCUAGCCUGGGUGACAGAGUGAGACUCCAUCUCAAAAAAAAAAAAAAAGAAAAAAAAGAAAGAAAGCAAAAAGCAAAAAGCAGCCGCCAGGCACAGUGGCUCACGCCUAUAAUCUCAGCACUUUGGGAGGUCAAGUCGGGUGGAUUACCUGAGGUCGGAAGUUCAAGACCAGCCCAACCAACAUGGAGAAACCCCGUUUCUACUAAAAAUACAAAAUUAGGACCGGGCGUGGUGGUUCACGC
rnacentral:lncRNA from 10 species